rnacentral:ncRNA from 2 species
CCCGCCCUACGUGGUCCUUUGAGCCGGCCGGCUUGCCGCCACGCUAAACAAGGUUGCUAAAAGGUCGGGGCCGCGCAGCG